rnacentral:lncRNA from 1 species
GACAUCUAUUAAAAAGUCAUGCUUGAAUAUCUCCUUUUGUUUAUUCAGUCUUUUCAUUAUACAUGAUUUACCUCCCUUAUUGCAGAGUUGCCUACAUGUACAUGUAAUUAUUAAAUUCAGUAAUAAGAAGGUGUAUGGUGAAGUGCAACAAACAUACAUCAUGUACAUUACAUCAACCAACAAAGUAGCAAAAAUCAGUCGGGGGUCACAUCAGGUACAUUUUCUGUAAAUGGGAAAAU